rnacentral:rRNA from 1 species
CCUACGGGUGGCUGCAGUCGAGAAUCAUUCACAAUGGGGGAAACCCUGAUGGGGCGACGCCGCGUGGGGGAAUGAAGGUCUGCGGAUUGUAAACCCCUGUCAUGUGGGAGCAAAUUAAAAAGAUAGUACCACAAGAGGAAGAGACGGCUAACUCUGUGCCAGCAGCCGCGGUAAUACAGAGGUCUCAAGCGUUGUGCGGAAUCACUGGGCGUAAAGGGUGCGUAGGCUGUUUCGUAAGUCGUGUGUGAAAGGCGCGGGCUCAACCCGCGGACGGCACAUGAUACUGCGAGACUAGAGUAAUGGAGGGGGAACCGGAAUUCUCGGUGUAGCCGUGAAAUGCGUAGAUAUCGAGAGGAACACUCGUGGCGAAGGCGGGUUCCUGGACAUUAACUGACGCUGAGGCACGAAGGCCAGGGGAGCGAAAGGGAUUAGAUACCCGUGUAGUC